UGUGUCACAAUUGCUCAACAGACAAUAAUAGCGCUAAAUUAGUGCUUCACAGUGGAAUAAUAGACAAGAGCAAAGAGAUCACUAAUGAGCCAUUAUUCCGUAAAUGUUGAAUUGCAAAUUAUUGACGCUAGUCUCAGAGAUGAUCAUUCCCGUUAACUACAGGGACCUUUUGUGAUAACAAUGCCGCCAGCCAUUACUGGUCAUUUACAUGUCACGGUUGGCAUUGCAAUUGUCCGAUUGGAUUUUAUGCAGACACCCGCAUUGUGACACCAUAAAUAACAGAGUCGCUGGAUCCUAGAUCUGUAUUUACAACAGUGUGGCUUAAGCGAAUAUUAUACAGAUUUCACAAUGCAGCGUGUGUUGGCAACCGUAGUCGCAACAUUUUGCUUUGUACUGACACUAAGCGAUGGUAUUGAAGGUGUUCCGAUGCAAGCUUUCCCGCCAAAAUACCCGCGGAUGCUUGAAAACGAGGCUGACGUAAUGAAUCUUCUCAAGCGGCACCCUCCCAAGUUUCUGUCCGCUAAAAGCAUUGGCAGUAACAUUCAGCUGCCAAGAACAGAAAGCAGCGCCUCGAGAUUCGGUGGACUGUUUUUCACCGGCGGAAGCCAUACCCCUAAUGAGGAGUUAUGCGACACUUGCUACCACUUCAACAUCGAUAAUUGUGAUCUGGGGUGCAUUUCGUCAGAGAACAGCGAUCUGCGAUUUCAGUCCUGCCUGGAGACAUGCGCACAGCAAUUCAGGGAUUGCUACCUCGAAGAUUGUCUCAAUGGAACAUCAUGAGUGUAGGGCGGGAACAAUUUUGUCUUGUUGAAACAAUUAUAUUAUAAAUAGACCACUGAGCUAUCCAAUUUUUGUUAGUGAUUUUUAAAGAACGGAACACUAAUGAAUUUUGCCUUCUUUUAAAUUCGUGUGUAAGAAAUUGACAUGCCGUCGAAUAACGCUGAAUUAAAUAUUCAGGGAGGUUCGGCGUCAUGCCAAGAAUCCUCAUAGAUAUUAUAAAAUAUUACUUAUAUCGAACAAGAAAGUGUGUGUUUUUUAUGAGUAAAACUCGUUCCGUUUACACAAAAGUGUACAUGGUGUGUAGCAUGAUGGUUUCAAAACAAUUGCGAGUACAUUGUGGGAUAUCAUUUUUUAAAUACAAGUAGUGACCAUCACAUUGCUCGUAACCAAUGUUAUUCUUAACUCUGUUUUUGAGUAAAAUGUGUAUUAUCAUUAUCCUUGACACCAAUUACCCAAAUAAAAUCCUUAAGUACAAUUUCA